UACGUAGGGGGCAAGCGUUGUCCGGAUUUAUUGGGCGUAAAGAGCGUGUAGGCGGUUUGGUAGGUCCGCUGUGAAAACUCGAGGCUCAACCUCGAGACGCCGGUGGAAACCAUCAGGCUAGAGUCCGGAAGAGGAGAGUGGAAUUCCUGGUGUAGCGGUGGAAUGCGCAGAUAUCAGGAAGAACACCGAUGGCGAAGGCAGAUCUCUGGGCCGUAACUGACGCUGAGGAGCGAAAGCGUGGGGAGCGAACAGG
rnacentral:rRNA from 1 species